rnacentral:tRNA from 1 species
GCCUGGGUAGCUCAGUGGUUGAGCAUCUGCCUUUGACUUAGAGCCUGAUCCCAGGCU